GGAGAGGAAAAUGAAAGAGGAAAUAAAGGUGGUAAAGGGUAUAGGGUUUCCGUGGUUUUCGAUUGCGUUCGUUCCUUCUUUUUCGUCUUUUUCGUCUUUUUCGUCUUU
rnacentral:ribozyme from 14 species